rnacentral:rRNA from 1 species
CAAUAGCGUAUAUUAAAGUUGUUGCAGUCAAAAAGCUCGUAGUUGGAUUUCGGGGCAGCCUGGCUGGUCCGCCGCAAGGCGAGUACUGGUCAGCCGCCCUUCCUCUCGAAAGCCCCGACUGCUCUUUAUUGCAGUGGUCGGGUAGUUCGGGACGUUUACUUUGAAAAAAUUAGAGUGUUCAAGGCAGGCCUACGCCUGAAUACAUUAGCAUGGAGUAAUGGAAGAGGACCUCGGUCCUAUUUUGUUGGUUUCCAGGACCGAAGUAAUGAUUAAGAGGGACAGUUGGGGGCAUUCGUAUUUAAUUGUCAGAGGUGAAAUUCUCGGAUUUAUGAAAGACGAACAACUGCGAAAGCAUUUGCCAAGGAUGUUUUCAUUAA